rnacentral:rRNA from 1 species
GACGAACGCUGGCGGCGUGCUUAACACAUGCAAGUCGAACGAUGAAGAAGAGACACGCGAACUUCGGUUCAACUUUCACUUCGGAUUAGUGGCAGACGGGUGAGUAACGCGUGAGCAACCUACCUCUUACAAAGGGAUAGCCUCGGGAAACCGUGAUUAAUACCAUAUGACACAUUCAUAAGGCAUCUUAAGAAUGUUAAAGCUACGGCGGUAAGAGAUGGGCUCGCGUCCCAUUAGCUAGUUGGUGAGGUAACGGCCCACCAAGGCGACGAAGGGUAACCGGCCUGAGAGGGUGAACGGUCACAUUGGAACUGAGACACGGUCCAAACUCCUACGGGAGGCAGCAGUGGGGAAUAUUGCACAAUGGAGGGAACUCUGAUGCAGCGACGCCGCGUGAGCGAUGAAGGAAUUCGUUUCGUAAAGCUCUGUUCUAUGGGAAGAAAAGGACUGUACCAUAGGAGAAAGCCCCGGCUAAAUACGUG